rnacentral:SRP_RNA from 1 species
GCUGAGCUCUGUAGCGAGGGCUUGUGACUCAAGUGAGAGCAAACAAGUAAUUGGAACGUUCGUUUGGUCCACGUGGUAGAGUUUAGGCUGGAUUUUCACUGACUCGCCCGAUCCAAGUCAGGAGAUGUGCUUCGUGUUUCGAGCGAAGGCUCGGGUCACGUGGUUCUUAGAGCGGAGGACAUUGCGUGAGGCUGGUUUCACAGAGCAGCGAAUACUUCCCGCUUCUGGUAGUGGAUGGAUAACGAGUCGGUUCCGCUUGAGCUCAAUAUGAUCUCAUGGGCCGAACUCAAUUGGACCAAUUACUUU